UACAGAGGGUGCGAGCGUUAAUCGGAAUUACUGGGCGUAAAGCGCGCGUAGGCGGCUUUGCAAGUCGGGUGUGAAAUCCCCAGGCUUAACCUGGGAACUGCAUUCGAGACUGCAUUGCUAGAGUAUGGGAGAGGGAAGUGGAAUUUCCGGUGUAGCGGUGAAAUGCGUAGAUAUCGGAAGGAACAUCAGUGGCGAAAGCGACUACCUGGCCCAUUCUUGACGCUGAGGCGCGAAAGCUAGGGGAGCAAACGGG
rnacentral:rRNA from 1 species